rnacentral:lncRNA from 1 species
UUAAACCGAGCAUAGCAAAAGCCUUGCCAACGUUUACAUCUCUUGACGCGCCUAAAAAUUCACCCGGACAAAUGAUAAUAUAAAUCGGAAAUGAUGAUAAGAAUUCCCGUUUUUUUCAUUCUUCUUUUAUUUAACCCUCAAAUUUGUUGCAAAACCGUUUGUGUGACGACGUGAAUAAUAAAUUUCUGUCCGACAUCUUGCGUCAAAAUGUUUGAUCUUAUUUUUCUCUUUCAUUUGUAAAAUUUUUUACGGCAAUUAAAACAUGAUUGAUAAAUAAAGGUGAACAUUUUGCUCUCGAAACAAGGAUGUAGAUUUUAAUCAAGUAAUUUGUGUGGGAAAAUCGUAAAAUCGUGUUUUUCUUGUUUGUUUGUUUUUUUUUCAAAUACUUUUCAGAGAUCUAUUUAAAGAGGGUGAGAGAGAACAAAACAUAAAAAUUAAUAAACUAAAUAAAUAAAAAUACGCGCGUCUCUUCGUUAUAAAAUUUUGAAUACACAUCUUUGUGGCGGAUAAAAGGGAAGAGAAAAAUUGAAGGAUAAAAGAAAAUGCUUGUGAUAUUGUAGCAUACCUGAGCAGCACAGUCGCUGUCUCGGGGACACGGAACACCUGAAAAAGAAGACAACCACCAACUCUAUCGAAUCCUGCACAACGAACUAGAUAACUCCAAACCAAAACGAGACACCUCAGUCGUGACGACCUUCAAGGACAAGGCGGCGGGAAUUCAAGGUCAGGCGGGGACUGGGUGAAGGCCGUCAUGACCUUGGCAAAGAGCUUCCGACCGUUACUCUACAUCUCGUGGUGUUUAUAAGCGACUGGAUUUCGAUUUCCGUUCAAAGCCCUUACUUUCUUCAUCUGCAUAAGUUGUUCAACAACUUGUAAGUGUCGUGCAUACGACGUUGCAAUAAAUUACAGGACGUACCUGUAGGCAUAAACGUUGGCCUUAGUGGUGUAUGAUGGAAAAUAAGACUAUUGUGUAACAGCCGUUAUGGCAAUUCCUUCAACCGAAAUAACUAACGAGACUAGUGGAAACAUCAAAGUCGAUCACAACCUUGAAUUCGAUCGCUGCAUGAUACGACAUGUGUGCGUACGUUCCUUGUGUAUUUACACUAUACGUAUUAUCUCGGUUCUCUGUUCAAUUUGGAUAUCCAUGAGGUCGGAGUUUGUAACGUUAAUGUAACGAUUGACUUGUAGAAAAAACAACGUACCCAGUCA